GACUCUGUAGUGAAAUUCAUGUUGAGUUGCAAGCUCAUUGAUAUGUGCUUAGAGCACAUCAGAGUCU
rnacentral:tRNA from 1 species